rnacentral:rRNA from 1 species
GACGAACGCUGGCGGCGUGCCUAAUACAUGCAAGUAGGACGCACAGUUUAUACCGUAGCUUGCUACACCAUAGACUGUGAGUUGCGAACGGGUGAGUAACGCGUAGGUAACCUGCCUAUUAGAGGGGGAUAACUAUUGGAAACGAUAGCUAAUACCGCAUAACAGUAUGUAACACAUGUUAGAUGCUUGAAAGAUGCAAUUGCAUCGCUAGUAGAUGGACCUGCGUUGUAUUAGCUAGUAGGUAGGGUAAAGGCCUACCUAGGCAACGAUACAUAGCCGACCUGAGAGGGUGAUUGGCCACACUGGGACUGAGACACGGCCCAGACUCCUACGGGAGGCAGCAGUAGGGAAUCUUCGGCAAUGGGGGGAACCCUGACCGAGCAACGCCGCGUGAGUGAAGAAGGUUUUCGGAUCGUAAAGCUCUGUUGUUAAGGAGGAACGAGUGUGAGAAUGGAAAGUUCAUACUGUGACGGUACUUAACCAGAAAGGGACGGCUAACUACGUGCCAGCAGCCGCGGUAAUACGUAGGUCCCGAGCGUUGUCCGGAUUUAUUGGGCGUAAAGCGAGCGCAGGCGGUUAGAAAAGUCUGAAGUGAAAGGCAGUGGCUCAACCAUUGUAGGCUUUGGAAACUGUUUAACUUGAGUGCAGAAGGGGAGAGUGGAAUUCCAUGUGUAGCGGUGAAAUGCGUAGAUAUAUGGAGGAACACCGGUGGCGAAAGCGGCUCUCUGGUCUGUAACUGACGCUGAGGCUCGAAAGCGUGGGGAGCGAACAGG